GCUGGAGUUACUAGUAAUCGCAGAUCAGAAUGCUGCGGUGAAUGCGUUCCCGGGUCUUGUACACACCGCCCGUCACACCACGGAAGUUGGGGGCGCCCGAAGCCACUUAGCUAACCCUUUUGGGAAGCGAGUGUCGAAGGUGAAAUCAAUAACUGGGGUGAAGUCGUAACAAGGUAUC
rnacentral:rRNA from 1 species